ACUCAAAUUAGGUUUGGUUCUCUUUUUUUUAUUCAAAUCGUUGCCAAACAGUGGAGACUAGCCCCUUACAGAACAUAAAGAAUCAAACAUAAAAGCAAGAUAAUAGAAGGAAGGAAGUUGAUCAUACACCCUCAAACCACCAGGCAACACUAAGCCAUUCUUUAGGCUUGGUUCUCUAGUCCCUAACACGUAUCACUUAGUUCUCACCAGUGGCCAAAAUACAUGUGAAGGCAAUUAACAAAGGAUAAUGGAAAAGACAUGAUUCUUAAAUAGAUAAAGCUUGGGGAAAAGUGAAACUGAAAACCAAAUUUCAAGGAAUCACCCAGCAGUACAAACGGCUAGGUUCCUUCAGUGAUACCAUCAUAAAGAAACACAAUGGUUACAUCAUUUCUUCCAGCUAUCCUACAUAAUUCAGUUCUAGUUUUCCUUUGUCAGACUACAAUUAUCAAAACAAGUUACAAAAUCCUGUUCCUAAACCAUUCCAUCACUGAGUCUUUUGAUUCAGAAACUGAAAAAAACUAUUAUAUGGAGCUAAAGUUGUUGGAAGCCUUGAAAUUGGCGGCAAUUUCACAGCUAACUACAUGAACUAUUGUUCUGUGCUUGUUAAUUCUAGGAUUAUCGGCACUUUGGCACAAACUCAGAAAACUAACCUUAAAUGAUGAUGAAUAAAAAGCUAAAGAUAAUUGAUAUUUUUCAUUAAUGCACAGAAGCGCAAAUGUGCACAAAUAUAUACACGCAUGAUAGCAACAACAUAUCAGAGUUUGUUGCACAUUCAAAUUCAAAUAUCAGGAAGGUUUAAAUACUCUGGAGGUCCUUGAAAUUUUCUACCGUACGAAAAUAAGUCCCUGAAUGUUUUUUUUUUCCGAUUCUGAAUCCCUGAAUUUUGUUUUAAUCAGAAUAAGUCCCUACUCGUUUUUCCAGCCUAUGUGGCUCAAUUUUUGCUGCGUCAUUUAUUCCACGUGGUUUUUUUUUUAAAUACACAUGGAUUAAAAAAAUAAACUUAAACAUGUGUACUAAUUAACCCUAAAUCCCUAAAAAGAUUUUAAUUUCAAAUUUAAAUGUUUGAAAUUAAAAUCUUAUUAACCUAAUUAACCAUAAAUCCCUAAACCUAAUUAACCCUAAAUCCCUAAAAAGAUUUUAAUUUUAAAUCAAAAUGUUUAAUUUUAUUUUUUUAAUCCAUGUGUAUUUAAAAAAAAUAGAAAAGCCACGUGGAAUAAAUGACUCAACAAAAAUUGUGUCACAUAGGCUGGAAACACGAGUAGGGACUUAUUAUGAUUAAAAUUUUUUUUUCAGGGAUUCGGAAUCGGAAAAAAAAAAUUUAGGGACUUAUUUUCGUACUGCAGACAAUUUCAGGGACCUCCAUAGUAUUUAAGCCUAUCAUGAAACUAUAUCCUAUAAAAACUAUCCAAGAAUCUUGCUAUUUGUUACAACAAAUAAGCAACAGAACUUAAUUAAU
rnacentral:lncRNA from 1 species